UACAGAGGUCUCAAGCGUUGUUCGGAUUCAUUGGGCGUAAAGGGUGCGUAGGCGGCGCGGUAAGUCGGGUGUGAAAUCUCGGAGCUUAACUCCGAAACUGCAUUCGAUACUGCCGUGCUUGAGGACUGGAGAGGAGACUGGAAUUUACGGUGUAGCGGUGAAAUGCGUAGAUAUCUGGAGGAACACCGGUGGCGAAGGCGGCAUCCUGGACCAACACUGACGCUGAGGGAGCGAAAGCCAGGGGAGCAAACGGG
rnacentral:rRNA from 1 species